rnacentral:rRNA from 1 species
UACGGAGGGUUCGAGCGUUAUCCGGAUUUAUUGGGUUUAAAGGGUGCGUAGGCGGAGUGGUAAGUCAGCUGUGAAAGUUUACGGCUCAACGGUGAAAUUGCAUUUGAUACUGUUGGUCUUGAGUAUAGAUGAGGUGAGCGGAAUUUGUGGUGUAGCGGUGAAAUGCUUAGAUAUCACAAAGAACUCCAAUUGCGAAGGCAGCUCACUGGGGUAUAACUGACGCUGAGGCACGAAGGUGUGGGGAUCAAACAGG